rnacentral:lncRNA from 1 species
UGCUUUUCCGAAAUAUUAUUCCAUUCAUAAUGUAUAUACUGAAUGCAUAUAGACAAACUUAUCAAUAAUGUGUUCAUAUAUAUAUUUGUAAAAUAACAAAAGAAAGGAUUAACAUUCCAUUUGUACUGUAUCAUUUACACACCCUUUGGGAAGAAAACAAAUUAACAUCAUUUGCAAAUAAAAUAAAUUGUUGUCUAUAGUUCUGGGCAAAUAAUAAUUAGCUUGUCAACUUGAAUUCUCCAAAAUCUACAUCUUCACUUGUAAACUGAAGUCUUCAAGACCUAUGACAAGUAUGAAAUGAAUUCACUUCAGAAAAACUAUAAUAAUCAACCAGAAAGUUUGAGUAACUAAUUGCGAGACCUACAUUAUUUCAUAAACUAAUUACAAUAUAACAAUACUUUGGUCAUAUAAGAAACUUGCAUUAUGAAAUAAAACACAAAAUAGCCAUCUCGGCAACUAAAACACUGUAAGAGACUCAAAAAGUGCAUUUGUUUUAUCAAUGACAAGGAGAACUACAUCUUAUUAUAUACAAAUAGGUUCCAUAGGCUUAGAGGGAGACAAACAGAUAAUUAUUUACCAUAUUACACCUCAAGUUGUAAGUGCCACGCAACCUAAGAAACAAAGAUUAAGUUCAACAUUAGCAUUAAUGAGAAUCAUCCAAAGUCCAUAAUAUAGCGUUAAUGAGAAUCAGCCCUCAUUAUUUAAUACAUAUAAAGAUAGGAUGCAAAUUAUAAGAUCGAAUAACAUUAUGUUAUAUAAACUACUAACAAACAAAUUGCACUUUUAAAGUACAUCUUCCUUUAGAGAAUAUCUGGCACAUAAAUGUUUAAGAAAAAAAUCAAAAUCAGUGCCUUAUAACUUUUCCCAUUAUCAUAAUCAGAUUUUGGGUUCUGCUAUAAACAAGAAAUUGUGAGGGGUUUAUGUUCUUAUCAGUUCAAUGUAGAAAAUUUCCGGAUCACGUAACACAGAUCAGGGUAAAUCUACUGAUGCAAAAAUAAAAAAUAAACUAUUGACAAUGAUCCUAUACUUGAACCUAAAACUUGUUGUCCUUGCAAUUAGCCUUUAACUUGUGAGAAAAUAUUUAGCAAUUCCUUAAUGAUCAAUGCACACACACAUAGAUAUUUUUUUUGUAAAAGAAACAUAAUUUUUACAAGAAUUUGUGAAAGAAAUUUCUGGACCUGCUGUCUAACUCUCUCAAGUUUCAGCUCAAGUUGUGCUAACUUCAAAUGGCAUUGUUUUCAACUACUGAACUUACUCCUAGAAAGAGAAGGGAAGAGAAUCAAGAAAAGGAAUUUAUCUUCCAUAUAAUUGAAUUUUAAAAAGCAAAAUUUCUUGUACCUUUUUCCGCAUACGGCUUUCACACAGUGAGCUUUGAUAUUGCUGCUAAACACAAAAGUGAGAGAUAAAGAGGAAAUGGCUUUGGGUAUGCACGCCUUGUCGGGAAUACUCUAUUUGUUGAUAAUCCCAUAUCAGAGGGUAUAAAUUGUUCAUAAAAGUAAAAAGAGUACAUAACCAGAUGAGUGUUUGAGAUAUACUACAUGAAACGUUGCAGUGUUACAACAAAAAUAAAAUCAUAUUUGAGAACCUAAGAAAUGUAUCCCAAAUUGUUAUAAAAUUAUAUCAUGAAGAUACAUGCGAACUUCAGAGUGACGUCUGACACGGAGAUGCAGAGAAUAGAAGACUAAAGUUUCAACUAAAUGGUUAUAACAUGAUAUAGAGUGUAAGGUUGAGUUUCAGUCCAAAAGUAAAUUGUACCUGCAUGAGUAGCAAAAACAAACUGAGAACCAGCAACGAAAUCAAUAAAAGUGGAUAAAAGAGAAUAAGGAAAAAUUAAAAAUUGAUUCAGAUUGUUAGAAGAAAGUCUAUCAUUUCAAGAGUGCAACAUCCCUCACAAAUGAACCUCCACCUUCAUCAAUAGAUAACCUUAACAACCGUUGCACCAAGAUCAAAUAUCUUCAUAAAAUCUUAUAGAACUACAAGUACAACACUGAUUCACUUAUUCAAGCAACCUCCUUGUGGAGAAACCAGAAACACAUCUCCUUCAAGGUGUUCAACUUUAAUACCACGUUUCCCUAACAUUUCAAUAUUUUCUUUAAAACAUGUCUUAGAACCAUACAACAACAUAUUUAAAAUUACCAAUUUCAAUCUAUCAUUUUCACAAAGGCUUUGCGCGGAUGAAUCUUUACUUUUUUCUGUAACUUCAAUCCAUCUACUAGAGCACUAGCAGCAAACAGUUUUUUCACCAGUUGAAAUAGCCAUUGUCUAAUAAAUUCACAAGUUUAAUUUCUUUUAGCAAACAUAACUAUCACUCGUAUUUAAAAGAAGCUACAUGAACCUGAUAAUCACCGUAGACUAGCAAGCUCAGUUUAGCACCUCACCUAAUGUCAAUUGGUAACAAAGUACAAUAAUCAUGUUAAUUAAAGCUUCCUUUUAGUACGUAAAGGAGUGUUUAGUAGCAAUAUUUGACAUGGGUAUAAUAAUAUUAAGAAGCUCACUAUAAAAUAAACACCCAAUUUUAGCAAAAAUGUGGAUAACAUGUAUCCAUCAACAAAAUGAAGAGCAACAAUGAAAAUACAUACCAAAAAUCACUCAUUGCCCCCAUAAAUGAAAUGAAUCAAAACCCACAAGCAUUAACAACAAAAUCCAGCAAGUCUAAAAUAGUGAGUGGAAGAAAGGAACUCUAACCGAUGAUUGGAACACUUCAUCUCUUAAGCAAGUCGUAAAGAUAAUCAAAUCUUGCAUUCAAGAAACAAAAUUGUCAGCACACACAUAUACAAGCAUAGCUGAAGCAGAUAAAGAGAAUAGAAUUAUGGGAAUCNAAACUUACGAAUUUCAAGCUAAUACUCCUGGAAGCACCUCGGACCACAAUGAAACAACUCCUUCCCAUCUCACUGCGGAAGCUGAAAUGAAUAACACGUGAGCUCUUCUUCACAAAACGGCUCAGAGAUAUGGCCUCGCCAUAAAAAUAACUUGUUGAAUCACAAUAUGCCAACUCAAUCGCACAGAUCCGACUUCAGUUGGUGAUGGAAAAAAUUAUCCAAAAUAACUUAGCAAAAUUGAAUAAUCUGUAGAAUAGUCGUGAACAGAUUGAUGAUGGAAAUCGUCAUUUUGAACAAUAAAAUCAAGAACAGAUUUAGAUGAAAUACUAGAACUGAUUGUCAAAGUGAUGAGGGUUUGGGGAUUUUGAGAGAAACGUUGAGAGACGGGGAGUAAACCCUAGUUCCUAAAUGACGACUUGGGGAAUGUUUUUAAGUGUUUCUAUUUCUUUAUUUCUUUUUCUAGGUUUCUAUCUCUUUAUAAUUAUAAAAAUAUUAAAAUUUUAGAAGAAAAUUUUGGGCGGCACCUCAAGUCUCGCACUCCCGCUCUGUUAUGCAUAUUAGGGACGAGAGUUUUAUAAUAAU